CCUCGCCCGUGCCGUGCCUCCCUCCGCGCCCUCUACAUCGGCAAGCCGCUCCUCCCUCCCUUCCUCCUCUGCGACCUCCACGACCUCCAUGCCACCAGAGUUAGGGCAACAACGUGGCUUCUGGCGAGUAGUUCGCACUUCCUUCCUCGCUUCGCAGCUUCUAUAGGGCAACAGGCGACGUCUUCCUGUGAGGCUAUGGGAGCGAGUUGAUGGCGGGGUGGAGGUGCUAGGGGCCGACGAGGUUGAGCUAAGCGGAUCUGUGCGUGUAGAGGGUGGGGACGUGUCCCUUGAGGAGGACAGUGGAGGAAGAGCAGUCUUCUUGCUUUUUUUUCUUUUUUUUAGGCAGGGGCAGAACGUACGGGUACAAUGCUGGUGUCCGCGACACCAUUCGAUGAAUUGGCUUUCCAUCAGA